rnacentral:lncRNA from 1 species
ACUCUGGCCCUAAGGAUGCCCUGUCUGAGUCUCCUGGACAUUAGAAUUGCAGGUAGGGUCCUCAGACCUUGGCUUUUAUGUAGUGCUGGACUCUGAACUCUGGUCCUCAAGCUGCAUGGAAUGAAUGGCUUUAUCCACCGAGCCAUCUUUCUAGUCCCACAAUUUGCUUUUCCUUCCUUCUUCAAUUUACUACAGAACUGGUGCAGAUUAUAAAAGAACUAAAGUCUGCAGAAUCUAUCCCACACUCACUAUAAACACCAGCUCUGUCUCUCACUCCUGGGAGGAGCAGGCCUCACUUUACCUUUAUGUGUGCAACAGCCUUUCACUUCCCACCCCAUGACCAUGCAUUCUGUGCCUCUCCUUUCCUAGCCUGAGCUCCUCCAGGACAGACAGUCUGACACAUCCUCUGUGGCUAGCCUGGGUCAGUUUACAAGUAUACACUUGUUCUUUCCCAGCUUUGUGCAUAUGUGUACAUCUCGACAACAAAACUUUACCUGGUAGGGUUCCGUUUGUCUUCCUCAGAAAUCAAAAACCAAACAAAAUCUGCAUAGCUCAUUCUUCCCUCUUUUUGUACAGUUUUUCCUCUGAAGAAAACACAUGGUUAUAAAAUUUUCUAAGCAAUUAAGAAAUAAAGUAACACUCUUUAGAAAUUUACAAAUUCAAAAAAAAAAAAAAAAAGGAAAAUGAUAGAUUCCUCAUAAGGCUGGAUAGUUCAGAAAGGGCAACCCCUUUGUAGGCCUAUCUCACUUUUAAACUUUUAAAGGCCUACAAGGUGAAAUUAGAAGACAUUUGCCUAAAUUAAGGAAAAAAAAAUCCAUGUUGCUUUAACCUUAAAGCCUAAACACAGGCAGUGCUCUACCACCGAGGUACAUCCUUAUCCUUCUUUUACUUUUAUUAUUUAACUAAGUAAUUUUUGUGAGGCAGGGCUCACUAUGUAGCUUUUGGUAGCUGGAACUCAAUAUACAGAUCAGGCUGACCUUGAACUCACAGACCCACCUGCCUCUGUCUCCUAAGUGCUAGGAGUAAAGGCCUGUGCUACCACGCCCAGCUUUGAAACAAGGUCUUAUUAAGUUAUCUAGACAGGCUUUGAAUUGACUCUGAAGCCCAAGAAAGCUUCAGUGUGUGAACCUUGUGCCUCAGCCUUGUAAGCGUCUGGGGAUACAGGCGUCUGGGGAUACAGGCGUCUGGGGAUACAGGCCCAUGUACUAGGUCUGGCCCUGGUUUCCCAUUUGAUAAUUAAUGGCAACAGAUAUUGUUACUUAUAUUUAGACUCCAGACUAAUUUUGUUUUAUUCUUUUUUUUGAGAUAGGUUUUCUCUGGGUAGGUCUGGCUGUCCUGGAACCCUCUCUGUAGAACAGUUUGGCCUGAACUCACAGAGAUCUGUCUGCCUCUACUUCCUGAAUGCUGGGAUUAAAGGCAUGUGCCACCACCACUCAGCCAUGUUGGAUUAAUAUUAUGGAAUUAAUGUCUUUUAUUAAGGCACAACUGUAUGGUUUUGAGAUACAAUAAUAACUUAGUAGCCCUGCCAAAUCAUGCAGAAAGCUUUGCUAAAAUGCAAUAGUAUAGUUCAUUUUGAAACUCAAGUUGUUUUAUUUUAUUUUUCUAUUAAAGUGUUUUGCUAGCCCACUAAAUACAAUUCAUAAUUUAAAUUUUCAUACCUUGUUACUGCUCCAGAAAAUAUUCUUUCAAUAAUUCUAUUUGAUGAAGCUAAAUAUAAAUAAGAAGUACAGUUAGUGAGAAAUAUUCCUAAAAAAUUUGUUUUCAUUUGCUAAAGCUAAAGUUAACCAUAAUAAUCUUACACAGCAAGAGUAUCAGUAGUUACUUCUCUUCUUUCCUUCUUUCUUUCCCCUUCCUUUGCUUUCUUUCCUCCUUUGAGACAAGUUUUUAGGUAUCCCAGGAUGAACUCUAUCUUGCUCUAUAACUGAGAAUGGCCUUGACCUUCUGAGCCUCCUGCUCCUAGUACUGGGAUUAAAGGUAUGCACCACUGGACACAGUUUAUGUGGUACUGGGAAUCAAACCUAGGCCUGUAUGUGCUAAGCCAAGCACAUCCUCAACCCCUAAGCUCUUUAAAGUUACUGUAUUAAAAUGUAUUCGUUGAAAACACCAUACCUUUAUGUAUUGUAUUAUGACCUGAACAUCUACCAUUAAGACUCUAUAACUCCAAGUGUCCUUUAUCCUGUCUCUCUCCCAACCGUAGUGUCCUUUUCAUCCCCCUGCCUCUCGCCUCCAGUUAGUACUACUCAUAUGCACACGUGUGUGGGACUUCCCUGGGGCCUGGGAAAGCUACCACUGGCAAAGUGAGUACCUACAGGAAAGUGAGUCUUCUUCCCUCAGCAAUGACCACCAGAAUCUCCUCUGGCAAGGGUGGGACCUUGGGGGCCCUACCCCCAUUUGUGCAGAAAUUUUGUCUGCCCAGAUUCUAAAUUUUUAUUACACAUAAUUUAUAUUUUUUAUAAGAAUGAAGUAAGUUUAAACUAUCAACCACU